rnacentral:rRNA from 1 species
GAUGAACGCUGGCGGCGUGCCUAAUACAUGCAAGUCGAGCGGACGGACGCGAAGCUUGCUGCUCUGAUGUUAGCGGAGGACGGGUGAGUAACAUGUGGAUAACCUACCUAUCAGACUGGGAAAACUUCGGGAAACCGGAGAUUACAGCGGAUAAUAUUUUGAACCGUAUGGGUGGAAAGUGAAAGACGGUGUUGGUGUCACGUAUAGAUGGUUCCGGGCUGCUUUAGCUAGUUGGUAAGGUAACAGGUUAUCAAGGGAACGAUGGAUAGCCGACCUGAGAGAGGGAUCGGCCACACGGGAACGUGAACACGGUCCAGGCUCCUGCGGGAGGGACCAGUAUGGAAUGGUCCGCAAUGGGCGAGAACCUGACGCAGCAACGCGACGUCAGUGAUGGCGGUCUUGGGAUCGUAAAACCCUGUUAUGAGUGAAAAACAGAUUUGUAAGUAACUGUACACAUCGUGACGGUACCUAGUCAGAAAGCCACGGCUAACUACGUG